UACGGGGGGGGCAAGCGUUGUUCGGAAUUACUGGGCGUAAAGGGCUCGUAGGUGGCCAACUAAGUCAGACGUGAAAUCCCUCGGCUUAACCGGGGAACUGCGUCUGAUACUGGAUGGCUUGAGUGUGGGAGAGGAAUGCGGAAUUCCAGGUGUAGCGGUGAAAUGCGUAGAUAUCUGGAGGAACACCGGUGGCGAAGGCGGCAUUCUGGACCAUUACUGACGCUGAGGAGCGAAAGCCAGGGGAGCAAACGGG
rnacentral:rRNA from 1 species